GCGUAAUAGCUCACUGGUCGAGCGAUCCUGCGCCGAAAAUGAACGGGGCUAAGCGUUAUACCGAAGCUGCGGAUAAAUUUAUUUAUGGUAGGGGAGCGUUCUAUGUAGGGUGAAGCGUUAGCGUAAGCGGACGUGGACAGCAUAGAAGUGAGAAUGUCGGCUUGAGUAGCGAAAACAUGGGUGAGAAUCCCAUGCCCCGAAACCCUAAGGGUUCCUCCGGCAGGCUCGUCCGCGGAGGGUUAGUCUGGACCUAAGGCGAGGCCGAAAGGCGUAGUCGAUGGAUAACAGGUCAAUAUUCCUGUACCAGAUGUGUUUUGAGAAGGGGGACGGAGAAGGCUAACCAGGCCAGAUGUUGGUUACUGGUUCAAGCGUUCGAGGCUUUGAGAGAUGGAGAAAACAUCUUGAGCUAAGGCGUGAGUACGAGCUGCUACGGCAGCGAAGUUGGUGAUGUCAUGCUUCCAAGAAAAGCCCUAUACUCGUUAAGACACAAAUGCCAGUACCCGAAACCGACACAGGUGGGGUGGUAGAGAAUACCGAGGGGCGCGAGAUAACUCUCUCUAAGGAACUCGGCAAAAUGGCCCCGUAACUUCGGGAGAAGGGGUGCCAGCGAGAGCUGGUCGCAGUGAAGAGGCGCAAGCGACUGUUUACCAAAAACACAGGUCUCCGCUAAGUCGCAAGACGAUGUAUGGGGGCUGACACCUGCCCAGUGCCGGAAGGUUAAGGAAGCUGGUUAGCUUUUAGUGAAGCUGGCGACUGAAGCCCCGGUGAACGGCGGCCGUAACUAUAACGGUCCUAAGGUAGCGAAAUUCCUUGUCGGGUAAGUUCCGACCCGCACGAAAGGUGUAACGAUUUGCGCGCUGUCUCGGAGAGAGGCUCGGCGAAAUAGAAUUGUCUGUGAAGAUGCGGACUACAUACACCCGGACAGAAAGACCCUAUGAAGCUUUACUGUAGUUUGAUAUUGUGCUCGGGCUCUGAAUGCGCAGAAUAGGUGGGAGACGUUGAAAUAGUGCUUGUGGGUACUAUUGAGUCAUCGGUGAGAUACCACUCUUUUAGAGCUAGGGUUCUAACGCUUACCCGUUAUCCGGGAAGCGGACAGUAUCUGAUGGGCAGUUUGACUGGGGCGGUCGCCUCCUAACAGGUAACGGAGGCGCCCAAAGGUUACCUCAGGCUGGUUGGACAUCAGGAGUUGGAUGCAAACGCAGCAGGGCAGUUAGCCAGUGGAACAACCAACAGAAAAAAGAGCAAAAGCAGUG
rnacentral:rRNA from 1 species